UUUUCAGCAAUUAGGAAAGGUUUUACUUAGCGGUGAAUUAAUAGGGAAUCGUGUGCAAAUCACGAGCUGUCGCGCAACUGUAAGUAACACAAAAGGUUUUACCAAUGAUGGUCACUGUGAAACACGGGAAGGCCGGUAAAAGCCGUUACAAGUCAGGAUACCUGCCUUUUCUGAAUUGACGAU
rnacentral:ncRNA from 2 species